rnacentral:rRNA from 1 species
CCUACGGGUGGCAGCAGUCGAGAAUCAUUCACAAUGGGGGAAACCCUGAUGCUGCGACGCCGCGUGGGGGAAUGAAGGUCUUCGGAUUGUAAACCCCUGUCAUGUGGGAGCAAAUUAAAAAGAUAGUACCACAAGAGGAAGAGAAGGCUAACUCGGUGCCAGCAGCCGCGGUAAUACGGAGGUCGCAAGCGUUGUUCGGAAUCACUGGGGGUAAAGCGUGCGGAGGCUGUUUCGUAAGUCGUGUGUGAAAGGCCCGGGCUCAACCCGCGGACGGCACAUGAUACUGAGAGACUAGAGUAAUGGAGGGGGAACCGGAAUUCGCGGUGUAGCAGUGAAAUGCGUAGAUAUCGAGAGGAACACUCGUGGCGAAGGCGGGUUCCUGGACAGUAACUGACGCUGAGGCACGAAGGCCAGGGGAGCGAAAGGGAUUAGAUACCCUAGUAGUC